GGAGGACAGCACCGCCGCCCGCACUGCGCCUGCUGCCACAUGCGCCCGUGGCGCCUGCGAGCAUGCGCGCACACGGACGGCGAGGGGAGACGCGACAGCACCCAUCGGUGGAGCUGCGCCCUGUGCUGUGAAGCUCUUGUUUCAGUGCCCUCCCUGCCGUGCCGCCGCAACCGCGCCGCGACGACGGCUGCCACGCUACCGCGGAGGACGGUGCCGCCGGACCGGCCAUGGGCGUGACGCGUGGCGCACCCGUGGCGGCGCGCGAUGGGCGCCGGCGUCGUGCGGCUGCCACACCCUCGCCACGGCCGGGUGCUCCUGUGCUUCGUGGUGCGCGAUCCGGUUGUCUGCGCCGUGGCGAGGCCGCGCACGCCGACGCUGCCUUGCCCGGCGUAUGCCUCGUCCUCGCUGCUGUGGGAGGUGCGGGCGCACGCGCCGCCAAGCGGCUUUGCGCGGAGCUGGCUUGUGAAGGGGCGCGCUGUCCCGAGCACCGUCGGCGCUGGCGAGCUGCUGGCCGCGACCCCGCUGGACCUGACCUUCUCUGCGCUCCAUGAGCUGCUCGGCGAUGCACAGCGCUGCGACCGCGUGGCGCGCACCUUCAUGCCAGCGGCAGGCCUGCACCGGGCCGGGGGCAUGGCCUUCUCAGCUCGCGCCACCGCCACCGCUGCUGGCUGCGAGGCCGCGGCGCCGGUGGCGAGGACUGGCGGUCGCCGAGGUCCGCGUGUGCGCGGCUGACGGCCGAGCUUUCCGCCUGGAGUGGAGCGGAUGGCACGCACGUGGGGUGCGGGGGCCCGCACGGCUGGACGGCUGACCCGCGGUCGCGGCCGGCGGCGUCGUCCAUGUGCUCUGCCACGCCUCACGGGUGGGCUGGCUGGGCACGUGCAGCAGCAGCGCGCCCGCUCCUCCUGCGCGGCUGCGUGGGCGUGCCUGAGUCCGACGGCGUGCUGCGGCGGCUGUGCGAGGCCCGUGAAGUCGGCGGCAUCGUCUCUGCGCAGACGGCGUCCUGUGAUGCGCCCGCCGACAGCCGCCACGCUGCGCACCACAGGCCAUCCGAGUCGGUGGCGGUGGGGUGGCUGACGAGACAAGUAGAGCGCGUGCGCGCCUCUGCGGUGCUGCGAGCAAUACUGCGGCUGCCGGGUGUCGGUGCUGCUGCGACGGCGACGGCGGCUGCGCCCGCCGAGGCGUGCGUGGGGGCCGCCAUGGCUGUUGCGCUUGGGGUGGUGGCCGAGUACGUGCCGGUCCGGCUGCACGCGGCUCUUGCGGUGGCCUGCGGUCUCGCCGACCCCGCGGCGGCGCCAGCUUGCUCGCCGACAGCGGCGGCGUGACGCGACUGGAGAAGGCUGGGCAGCGGAAGGGCACGCCCCCCUUGCUGGCCGUGCUCGGCGAGAGGAAGCCGAGGACGGAGGGUGGCGCGCCGUGGGCGUGGCGUGAACGCACGACGGGCCUCGCCAUCGCGGCGCGACGCACGGCACACGCCGUGCAGGGUGGGCGAGCAAGGGUGUGCGGGGGAGGGGACGCCGUCGCCUCUGCUGCGUGCUGUGCGGGAGGGCGGCCGCGUGCGUGGGGACAGGUGCAACUGUCCGUCCCGCCCCCGAUGCGGGUGGAGCGCGCUGGAGCCCGUCUGUAUGCGCAUGCGCGCUGCUGCUGUGGCCAGCCUCCCUUCUGCGCCGCCGCGUCGCAGGCCGCACCGCUGCGUUGAGACACGGCGCGCGCCGGUGGGUGGGGUGAGGCCGGGAAUGACUUCUGCUUGGCUUGCUUGCGUGCGAGCAUGCUGGUGGGCUGUUGGCUGGGCGGACUCGGCACGGUGCACUCCAUCCCUCCUCCCUGCGGUCGCCUCGUGUGCGGCGAGGGUGUGCUCUCGCCUUGGCGGUGGCGGCGUGCGUGCGAGCGUUCUCUCCUGCUGGCGCACGUCGGCCGUGCAUCCGCGUGCCGGCGCUGUCUCUGUGGUGUAGGGGAGCGGCCCCUCGUGCCCCCUCUCCCCUCAUCCCUGCGCAUGCGGGGUGGCUUGUGGUGGUGGCAGGGGUAGGCCCCUGCGGCGUAGGGGGAGGCGAGGGCGAUGCGUCGCGGCCGGUGUCGGCGGUGAGGUUGUGGAUGGCGUGGCGCCGGAGCGACGUGCGGCAGCGGACGCGCUUGUGCCGUCCGCAUGGCGGGCGAGGGGCCAACGGGGCUCGGGCGUCUCCCACCCGGCCGUUGCUGCCUGCUGGUGGGGAGCCUGAGCCACGCCGAGGGGGACGCGCGAGGUGGCUGCCGGCACGGUGUGCGCUGCUGUGGGGCGACCUGCGUGGGGGAUGGGUGGGCAGAGGCUGUGCAGGGGACCGUGCUCAUGCUGCUGGGCCGCGCGCGGGGGCGGCGCGGGGUGUAGCGUGGCGCCGGCCUGCUGCUGUAGGGCGGGAGAUGGACGCGUCGAAGGGGAGCUGCUUGCGCUGUGGCAGACAUCGCCACCCCGGGUGCCGCCUGGGACUCGCCGCUGUCCUCAUCUGCCACGUGCGGCCACCCACGCAUGCGGGCGGCGAGCGACAUCGGCACUCAUGAGGGUUUUGUGUCCUGUGCUUCCACACCCCCAGCGCGCUUGGACAGCGCGCCCAUGCAGCGGUGGGGGCCUCAUGGGCAGAGGGGGUGCCCGCGCCACUGCCUGCUCUCUUGGCCCCGCGUGUCCUCCCUCGGUGAUGGGGGCGAGCAAGCGAGUGCCCCUCGCCGGCCUCUCCCGCCCCACCGAGCAGCGAGAGACACACGUGAGCCACAACGGCGGCCUCGCCUGCGCUGCCUGUGCGUGGCGAGCGGGCGCGUGCAGCCGCAUCCUCCCCCGCGUGUGCGCACACACCCGUCGGUGGGCGGUGCCGGCGUCUUGCGCGGCGUUGCUCUGCCGGCCGGCGGACAGCGAUACGCGGCUGCCGCACCGCCGCAGCGGGAAGCGGGGUGGGCCGGAGUCGCCGCCGACACGGCAAACGCGCGACGGCGCAUAUGCGCCCUCGACGCCCACCUGCUCGUCUCCGAGCGCUGUCGCUGCUCGCUCGGCGGUCGCUGCUCGCUCGGCGGUCGCUUUUCCUUUGCUCUCGUCGACUCUGGCGCAGGGUGGUGAGGGCUGCCACCCGGACACGCCCAGGCUGGCGUGGCUGAAGGCAUCGCCGCUGUAGCCGCAACGGGUACGAGUGCGCGCGAGCAGGCGCAGCAGCAGUGGCGGCUGUGGUGCGGGGGUGGUGUUUCCGCCUCCCCCUCUCGGCGUCACUGGCGCCCCUACCAUGCGUAGCGCGUGGUCGUGCUGCCCGUGCUGCUGUGUUGAACCGUGCUUGAUGCUUGCUCCCACUGCGACGCACUUGGCCACUGCCCUGCCGCUCAUCGUU
rnacentral:misc_RNA from 1 species